rnacentral:rRNA from 1 species
AUGCCUCCUCCCCUGCUCAUCCCUUCAUCAUUGGACUUGGAGAGGACAGCCUCUUUAACACCUUGGUUAACUCCCUUUCAAGCCAAGGAAAGGAAGGAAGCCACACAUUCUACAGUUAAUUCCCCUUUUUCAUCCUUGCAUGCAUGCAUGCAUGAUGAUGCCACCACCACCAAAAAGAAUACACCAAGUAAUAAUCUCUCCACCAACAAGAUGCUAGCUAGGACUAGCUGUCGCACAAGAAAGAAUGGAAUAAUCAUCGGACAGCCGGCAAUAAUAAUGUAUGUACCCGCAAAACAAUCAAUAAUGUACUCCCUCCGUCCGGGUGUAUAA